CGGGCUCGAUGUUGAAAGUGACAUCAACGGUAAUGGCUGCCUGGGCAAGCACGGUCGGGUCUCUCUUUUCUACCCUUGCCUUUUUCGUCGACCCAGAAGUUGCGACAUCUUUCCUCUUAUGGGCCUUGAGAUCCUUAGCUAACAUUCGAGCUGCGUCUGCAUCCAUAUCUACAACGAAAGAAGAUCGGCACAGCUUAGAAACAGAGUAGCGACAAAAGAGAGAAGUGAAAG
rnacentral:lncRNA from 1 species